UGUCAAGGAGGUGCCGAAUGAUGAAUAUAUUCAAAUACCGAGACAUGUUCUAAAACGUGUUUUGGCAGGUUGAUCCUGAUCGUCCUUAUUUCUAAUUUCUAAACCCGAAACGUUCUUUAUUAUUGGCGGGUUCUCUAUAAUCCCAUGUUUGUGAAGUCAAUUGCUUAAUUUGAUUGAGAGUCAUUAUGAUUCGGAAGUGCCUGGUAGCUUGUGACAUAAUUGAUGUAGUUUAUCAGUCAUGCAAUUUGUUGUUAGCAGCAUGUACCAGAUUUCUGGUAAUUCCCAUUUCAACAUUGUUUUUGUUUUCAGACAUCCUGGAUCUACUAAGAUACUUCGGAGAGAUGUCCCAGAUUUAUUCUUUUGAAUUUCACUAAUUUCUUUCCAUGGCUUCAGAUUCACCAGUGAUGGGGCUGCCGCCAACUUGGGCCUGCUCAAGAACAGCGACUCUACAGGAGGGGGAUGGAGUUUCGGAAGCUCCUGUGCUAUUGGGAGCGACAGUUCCACAAUGAGAUGGUCUUUCAUCACCUCUGAGUUGGAGGAUGUCCAAGGCCGGGAUCGUUCAUCACCACUGAGCUGCGGCUGAGAUAAUACUGUUGCUCAGUCCAGAUCUGGAUAUCUCAUCUCUGAACAUUUGAAAUGCCGAGUACUCCAUGAAAGCUUGCCUAGCCGCUUUCGUGCAACAUUAUAUCUUUGGACGUUUGCACUUCCGCGGCUCUAGACAUGAGCUUCCUUAUAUGGUAAGAAAAUGCUGGUCGAGAGCUCCAUUCAGCUUCCGGUAAUAAAUAAUCUCCCAUAUUUAUUAAAUUUGCUUGCUUUGGCAUGUUACUUUAUCUAUAUUUGAAAUAGGAUACUAUUUGAUAUUUAAUUUUAGGAAAAUAGUUGGUUUUCAAUCUAUUUGCUUUCUAUCCCGAAACUAUUAAAGUUGAGAAACUGGGAUUCAGAAGAUCCAAAACUGCCUGAUACAAUGGCUACUCUAAUCAAUAAAAUGAGUUACAUAUAUACUUACUAAUUUUUCUCUAUAUAUAUAUAUCUAUUCAUAAAAUAUGUUGAUUAGGCUACUUAUAUGCAUUGGAAAACCAUUAGAAUCCUUGCU